rnacentral:rRNA from 1 species
UACGUAGGGUGCGAGCGUUAAUCGGAAUUACUGGGCGUAAAGCGUGCGCAGGCGGUUCGCCAAGUCAGGUGUGAAAUCCCCGGGCUUAACCUGGGAAUUGCGCUUGAAACUGGCGGGCUUGAGUGUGGCAGAGGGGGGUGGAAUUCCGCGUGUAGCAGUGAAAUGCGUAGAUAUGCGGAGGAACACCGAUGGCGAAGGCAAUCCCCUGGGCCUGCACUGACGCUCAUGCACGAAAGCGUGGGGAGCAAACAGG